rnacentral:rRNA from 1 species
GUUGUUCGGAAUUACUGGGCGUAAAGCGCGUGUAGGCGGCAGCGUAAGUCGGGCGUGAAAUCCCACGGCUCAACCGUGGAAGUGCACUCGAAACUGCGCAGCUAGAGUCCUGGAGAGGAAGGUGGAAUGCUUGGUGUAGAGGUGAAAUUCGUAGAUAUCAAGCGGAACACCGGUGGCGAAGGCGGCCUUCUGGACAGUGACUGACGCUGAGACGCGAAAGCGUGGGGAGCAAACAGG